GAUGAACGCUGGCGGCGUGCCUAACACAUGCAAGUCGAGCGAACAGACGAGGAGCUCGCUCCUCUGACGGUAGCGGCGGACGGGUGAGUAACACGUGGAUAACCUACUUAUAAGACUGGGAUAACUUCGGGAAACCGCAGCCAAUACCGGCUAAUAUAUUCAACCGCUUGGUUCAAUAGUGAAAGACGGCUUUGCUGUCUCUUUUAGACGGAUCCGCGCCGCAUUAGCUAGUUGGUAAGGUAACGGCUUACCAAGGCAACGAUGCGUAGCCGACCUGAGAGGGUGAUCGGCCACACUGGAACUGAGACACGGUCCAGACUCCUACGGGAGGCAGCAGUAGGGAAUCUUAGGCAAUGGGCGAAAGCCUGACGGAGCAACGCCGCGUGAGUGAUGAAGGUCUUCGGAUCGUAAAACUCUGUUAUUAGGGAAGAACAAAUGUGUGAGUAACUCUGCACGUCUUGACGGUACCUAAUGAGAAAGCCACGGCUAACUACGUG
rnacentral:rRNA from 1 species